UUCCGGUUGAUCCUGCCGGAGGUCAUUGCUAUCGGAGUCCGAUUUAGCCAUGCUAGUCGCACGGGUUCAGACCCGUGGCGGAAAGCUCAGUAACACGUGGCCGAUCUGCCCUACAGAUCGAAAUAUCCUCGGGAAACUGAGGUCAAUGUCGAAUACGGGCCCCUUCCUUGAACGGUUGGGCCCGGAAACGUUCCGACGCUGUAGGAUGAGGCUGCGGCCGAUUAGGUUGACGGUGGGGUAACGGCCCACCGUGCCGAUAAUCGGUAUGGGUUGUGAGAGCAAGAGCCCAGAGACAGAAUCUGAGACAAGAUUCCGGGCCCUACGGGGCGCAGCAGGCGCGAAACCUUUACACUGCACGACAGUGCGAUAGGGGGACUCCGAGUGCGGAGGCAUAGUGCCUUCGCUUUUAUGCACCCUAAGGCGGUGCAUGAAUAAGAGCUGGGCAAGACCGGUGCCAGCCGCCGCGGUAACACCGGCAGCUCGAGUGAUGACCGAUUUUAUUGGGCCUAAAGCGUUCGUAGCCGGCCGGGCAAGUUCGUCGGGAAAUCUACCAGCUCAACUGGUAGGCGUCCGGCGAAAACUGCUCGGCUUGGGACAGGGAGACUCGAAGGGUACGUCCGGGGUAGGAGUGAAAUCCCGUAAUCCUGGACGGACCACCGAUGGCGAAAGCACUUCGAGAGAACUGAUCCGACGGUCAGGAAUGAAAGCUGGGGUCUCGAACCGGAUUAGAUACCCGGGUAGUCCCAGCUGUAAACGAUGUUCGCUAGGUGCGACGCAGACUACGAGUCUGCGUUGUGCCGUAGGGAAGCCGAGAAGCGAACCGCCUGGGAAGUACGUCCGCAAGGAUGAAACUUAAAGGAAUCGGCGGGGGAGCACUACAACCGGAGGAGCCUGCGGUUUAAUUGGACUCAACGCCGGA
rnacentral:rRNA from 1 species